AGUGAACGCUGGCGGUAGGCCUAACACAUGCAAGUCGAACGGAAGCACAGUAAGAGCUUGCUCUUACGGGUGGCGAGUGGCGGACGGGUGAGGAAUACAUCGGAAUCUACUUUUUCGUGGGGGAUAACGUAGGGAAACUUACGCUAAUACCGCAUACGACCUACGGGUGAAAGCAGGGGAUCUUCGGACCUUUGGCGAUUGAAUGAGCCGAUGUCGGAUUAGCUAGUUGGCGGGGUAAAGGCCCACCAAGGCGACGAUCCGUAGCUGGUCUGAGAGGAUGAUCAGCCACACUGGAACUGAGACACGGUCCAGACUCCUACGGGAGGCAGCAGUGGGGAAUAUUGGACAAAGGGCGCAAGCCUGAUCCAGCCAUACCGCGUGGGUGAAGAAGGCCUUCGGGUUGUAAAGCCCUUUUGUUGGGAAAGAAAAGCAGCAGGUUAAUACCCCGCUGUUCUGACGGUACCCAAAGAAUAAGCACCGGCUAACUUCGUG
rnacentral:rRNA from 1 species